UACGGAGGAUGCGAGCGUUAUCCGGAUUUAUUGGGUUUAAAGGGUGCGCAGGCGGAGGUGCAAGUCAGCGGUCAAAUUGCGGGGCUCAACCCCGUACUGCCGUUGAAACUGCAUCCCUUGAGUGCGCGAGAAGUAUGCGGAAUGCGUGGUGUAGCGGUGAAAUGCAUAGAUAUCACGCAGAACUCCGAUUGCGAAGGCAGCAUACCGGCGCGCAACUGACGCUCAUGCACGAAAGCGUGGGUAUCGAACAG
rnacentral:rRNA from 1 species